rnacentral:rRNA from 1 species
GAUGAACGCUGGCGGCGUGCCUAAUACAUGCAAGUCGAGCGAACGGACGAGAAGCUUGCUUCUCUGAUGUUAGCGGCGGACGGGUGAGUAACACGUGGAUAACCUACCUAUAAGACUGGGAUAACUUCGGGAAACCGUAGCUAAUACCGGAUAAUAUUUUGAACCGCAUGGUUCAAAAGUGAAAGACGGUCUUGCUGUCACUUAUAGAUGGAUCCGCGCUUCAUUAGCUAGUUGGUAAGGUAACGGCUUACCAAGGCAACGAUGCAUAGCCGACCUGAGAGGGGGAUCGGCCACACUGGAACUGAGACACGGUCCAGACUCCUACGGGAGGCGGCAGUAGAGAAUCUUCCGCAAUGGGCGAAAGCCUAACGGAGCAACGCCGCGUGAGUGAUAAAGGUCUUCGGAUCGUAAAACUCUGUUAUUAGGGAAGAACAUAUGUGUAAGUAACUGUGCACAUCUUGACGGUACCUAAUCAGAAAGCCACGGCUAACUACGUG